rnacentral:misc_RNA from 1 species
GAUGAAGAACGUAGCAAAUCGCGAUAUGUAAUGUGAUCUGCCUAUAGUGAAUCAUCAAAUCUUUGAACGCAUCUUGCACCUUAUGGCAUUCCAUAAGGUACGUCUGUUUCAGUACCACUAGUAAAUCUCCCCUCCACCUUGGUGGUUUAAAAGGAAGAGAUAAAUUAUUACUGGUUCUGGUGAUUCUUGAUUUAUUAAGAAUUACUCUCGACCUAAAUAUAAGGCUCGACUUUUUUAUUAGAUCUCGCAUCUGGUAAAACCUAGUCGGCUUUAAUAGGAUUUAUUUCUUAUUAGGUUUAUAGCCAUCAUUUUACUUUUAAAUCUUGGCCUGAAAUCAGAUGGGACUACCCGCUGAACUUAAGCAUAUCAAUAAGCGGAGGA